GCGGCCGCGGCGCGUUCCCGCCCGCGCGGCCCGGUGGCGCCCCUGCGCCCGCGCUCGUGCGGCCCGCACCGGGACCGGCGCAAGCCGCGGGCCCGGCGGCGCGGGAGGCCCGAAACGCCCCCCACCGGGGAACUUCUCGCGGACUUUUGGGGCUCUCGGGACAGACAGGCCAGGGCGGCCCCGAGCAGCGGCCUUGGCCCCGCAGGUUCUACCAGGAGCCCCAGUGGCCCCGGGGACAGCUCAGGCAAGGUCCUGGAAAAGGUCACUUUGCUCUUCACCUGAGUGUCACCCUAGACCCAGCUCCCUCCUGACUCAGCAGCUGCACCCACAGUGGCAAUCAACCAACCAACCGCAGCUGGAGAAGAAACAAAACCACCUGGGUCUCCCUGGACAUUCCUCAUUACACACCUCUGCAGUCAUCCUGAAAACCAAAACCCACUGUUCUCAGUGGCUGUUUCUGCCUUCUUGCUGCAAGCCCCACUCGUCCCCACCCCCCGCCCCUGCCGCCUUGCUUGCUUCCUCCUUAGCUCUUUCCAAGGAGAGACCUCCCCAUCCCAUCCCACCCCACCCUGUCCCCCGCACCUGCCCUGUGGCUCUGCCUCGCCCCCCACCCCCCCCCGCCCUUGCUGUAGGUGGACACGCCCUGCUCCUGUGGGGCACCUCUACUCCAGUCUCGCCUGACCCCACCCCAUCUCACCAGGGUGUCCCUGCACCAACUGCUGAAUUAUCUCUGUGCACUUCUCUUGGCUGCGAUUCUACUGCUGAAUUAUCUCUAUUGCAUGAUAAACAUGCUAUUAUUCCAUCCAGCUUAAAAUUUUUUUUUAAAUAAAAACACCUUGGAAAAAAAAUGGAAGCUACCCUUCAAUUUCCUUCCUCCCUUUCAUAGCAAAACAAAAUGCUCAAAAGAGUUGCCUUCACCCACUGUCUCAGCUUCUCUAAUUCCCUGUCUUACUCACUUCAAUCAGGUCACACCCCCACCCGCUGUCACGGUCACCAGCACCUCCUGAGCGGCUAAAUCCAGUGGUCCGUUCUGAGUCCUCGUCCUAGGGGCCUCUCCCGCAGCAUUUGACAGGCAGAGCGCUUCUUGUCCCCCAAGCAUUCCUCCUGUCACCCCCAGGACACCCCUCCCCACCUGCCUCUCCUCCCAGCUUACUGGCUGCCCCUCCCAGACCCCACUGAUGUUUCCUUCCUUGCCUCCAAUGCCCAAGCCCCUGGUUCUUGGGCUUUUCUCUCCUCGACCCUGCCUCCCCUGGUGAUGUUAACCAUUCCCGUAACUGUGGGUACCGAUUACAUGCUGAUGGUUCCCAUCUUGUGUCGCCGGCUUGGACCUUGCUCUUGAGCCCCAGACGGCCGAUGACCUCUCCACUAGGGUAUCUAAGGCACAUCACGAAAACCGAGCUUUCCCACCCCACCCCGCCCCACCCCCACUUGUCCCCCAUCACAGUAAAGGGCAUCUGGAUAUCUCUAUUUUGGAAAUCCGAGGUGAGUCUGCCCACUUGUCAACACUCCCACUGUUACCACUCUUGUCCCUCACCUGGAGGAACUCAGUAGUCUCCUAAAAUGAUCCCCUAUUCUGCCCUCGCCCCCUUGAAAC
rnacentral:lncRNA from 1 species